CACAAAAGUGUAGUGGAAGUGACGACAUAUAGUACGCGUCAUGAGGACGUCAUAUCGAUCAGGUGACUGGAGGCAGCCAAUCUGCGGUGAGCCUUCGCCACAACUGGGACAAACAAACUGGGGCAGCUGCCGGCGUGGAUGGUGGUUUCUGGCGCCCGGCGAGGUGUUAGCAAUAAGAGAUAGAUACGAGAUACUAGCAGUUAAGAUUACUAAACCGACGCACAAGUGAUACGAUGGAUAGAGCAGCCCUCCUCUGCUCUUUCGAUAUAUAAGAGCAUAUGUUGGCUCUUCAGAAGGGGAUGCAGUUAGUGCAUUUAUGCACGUUUCACACAGCAGGGACUUCUGAAGUUUGCGCACAACAAAUCCUGCUAUCUUGGCAGCAGUUGCCUUCGAUCGCUUGUCCCGUUCAAGACCUCUUCAGAAUGUGCGGCUCUUGCACUGCUCACAUGGAGUAUCGCAAUGUGCUCCUGUGGCAA